rnacentral:rRNA from 1 species
CGAUAUCAAUAAGCGGAGGAAAAGAAAAUAACAAUGAUUCCCCUAGUAACGGCGAGCGAAGAGGGAAUAGCUCAAAUUUUAAAUCUGUUGGGUCUUACCUAACCGAGUUGUAAUUUGAAGAAGCGUUUUCUGCGUGUUUGAUUUAGCCCAAAUCCUUUGGGAUAGGGUAUCAUGGAGGGUGAGAAUCCCGUCCGGCCUAAUCAAAUGUGCAUUACGAUACGUUUUCUAAGAGUCGAGUUGUUUGGGAUUGCAGCUCAAAAUGGGAGGUAAAUUUCUCCUAAGGCUAAAUAUAGGCGAGAGACCGAUAGCGAACAAGUACCGUGAGGGAAAGAUGAAAAGAACUUUGAAAAGAGAGUUAAACAGUACGUGAAAUUGUUGAAAGGGAAACGAUUAAAGUCAGUCGUACUAACGGGGAAUCAACCUUUUGAGGGUGGACUUGUGGGAUUCAGAGAGCCUUUGUCUUUCACAACCUGCUUUUUUUGGGUGCAAUUUGUCGUAUUGUAGGUCAGCAUCGGUUUCGACCGUUAUAAAAUGACUGGAGGAAUGUAGCUUCGAUCUCGUAUUGAAGUGUUAUAGCCUUUGGUAGAUGUAACGGAUGGGAUCGAGGAUUGCAACGAAUACCCUCAUGGGCUAUUCGUCUGGCCUCUGACAUGUCACUCUGGUGCCGAAAGCUUGCUUAUGGUAUUAUAGUGUACGGUCAAAAGGUUAGAACGGAUUAAAUUCGUUAAGGAUGUUGACGUA